rnacentral:rRNA from 1 species
CCCGCACGAGCGCACCCUUGUUUUUAGUUGCCUUUUAUGGAACUCUAAAAAGACUGCCGGUUAUAAACCGGAGGAAGGUGGGGAUGACGUCAAGUCAGCAUGCCCCUUACACCCUGGGCUACACACGUGCUACAUUGGGCGAGACAAUGAGAUGCAAAUCUGUGAAGACUAGCUAAUCUAUAAACUCGUUCUAAGUUCGGAUUGUAGGCUGCAACUCGCCUACAUGAAAGGGGAAUCGUGGUAAUCGCUGGUCAGCUAUACAGCGGUGAAUUCGUUCCCGGGCCUU